CUACGGGUUGCAGCAGUGAGGAAUAUUGCACAAUGGGGGAAACCCUGAUGCAGCAACGCCGCGUGGAGGAUGACGCAUUUCGGUGUGUAAACUCCUUUUAUAUGUCAAGAAAAUGACGGUAGCAUAUGAAUAAGCACCGGCUAACUCCGUGCCAGCAGCCGCGGUAAUACGGAGGGUGCAAGCGUUACUCGGAAUCACUGGGCGUAAAGGACGCGUAGGCUGGUGGGUAAGUCAGGUGUGAAAUCCUACAGCUUAACUGUAGAACUGCACUUGAAACUACCAACCUAGAGUAUGGGAGGGGGAGAUGGAAUUAGUGGUGUAGGGGUAAAAUCCGUAGAUAUCACUAGGAAUACCGAAAGCGAAGGCGAUCUCCUGGAACAUAACUGACGCUAAGGCGUGAAAGCGUGGGGAGCAAACAGGAUUAGAUACCCCUGUAGUC
rnacentral:rRNA from 1 species